rnacentral:rRNA from 1 species
UAGUGAGUUUGAUCCUGGCUCAGAACGAACGCUGGCGGCAGGCUUAACACAUGCAAGUCGAGCGGGCCCGCAAGGGUCAGCGGCGGACGGGUUAGUAACGCGUGGGAACGUGCCUUUUGCUCUGGAAUAGCCCUGGGAAACUGGGGGUAAUACCGGAUGUGCCCUGAGGGGGAAAGAUUUAUCGGCAAGAGAUCGGCCCGCGUCUGAUUAGGUAGUUGGUGUGGUAAUGGCGCACCAAGCCGACGAUCGGUAGCUGGUUUGAGAGGAUGAUCAGCAACACUGGGACUGAGACACGGCCCAGACUCCGUACGGGAGGCAGCGAGUGGGGAAUCUUAGACAAGUGGGCGCAAGCCUGAUCUAGCCAU